rnacentral:rRNA from 1 species
AGAGUUUGAUCCUGGCUCAGGAUGAACGCUAGCUACAGGCUUAACACAUGCAAGUCGAGGGGAAACGAUAUUGGAAGCUUGCUUCCGAUAGGCGUCGACCGGCGCACGGGUGAGUAACGCGUAUCCAACCUGCCCACCACUUGGGGAUAACCUUGCGAAAGUAAGACUAAUACCCAAUGACGUCUCUAGAAGACAUCUGAAGGAGAUUAAAGAUUUAUCGGUGAUGGAUGGGGAUGCGUCAGAUUAGCUUGUUGGCGGGGUAACGGCCCACCAAGGCUACGAUCAGUAGGGGUUCUGAGAGGAAGGUCCCCCACAUUGGAACUGAGACACGGUCCAAACUCCUACGGGAGGCGGCAGUGAGGAAUAUUGGUCAAUGGACGAGAGUCUGAACCAGCCAAGUAGCGUGCAGGAUGACGGCCCUAUGGGUUGUAAACUGCUUUUAUAAGGGAAUAAAGUGAGCCUCGUGAGGCUUUUUGCAUGUACCUUAUGAAUAAGGACCGGCUAAUUCCGUGCCAGCAGCCGCGGUAAUACGGAAGGUCCGGGCGUUAUCCGGAUUUAUUGGGUUUAAAGGGAGCGUAGGCCGGAGAUUAAGCGUGUUGUGAAAUGUAGACGCUCAACGUCUGCACUGCAGCGCGAACUGGUUUCCUUGAGUACGCACAAAGUGGGCGGAAUUCGUGGUGUAGCGGUGAAAUGCUUAGAUAUCACGAAGAACUCCGAUUGCGAAGGCAGCUCACUGGAGCGCAACUGACGCUGAAGCUCGAAAGUGCGGGUAUCGAACAGGAUUAGAUACCCUGGUAGUCCGCACGGUAAACGAUGGAUGCCCGCUGUUGGUCUGAAUAGGUCAGCGGCCAAGCGAAAGCAUUAAGCAUCCCACCUGGGGAGUACGCCGGCAACGGUGAAACUCAAAGGAAUUGACGGGGGCCCGCACAAGCGGAGGAACAUGUGGUUUAAUUCGAUGAUACGCGAGGAACCUUACCCGGGCUUGAAUUGCAGAGGAAGGAUUUGGAGACAAUGACGCCCUUCGGGGCCUCUGUGAAGGUGCUGCAUGGUUGUCGUCAGCUCGUGCCGUGAGGUGUCGGCUUAAGUGCCAUAACGAGCGCAACCCCUCUCCUUAGUUGCCAUCAGGUUAAGCUGGGCACUCUGGGGACACUGCCACCGUAAGGUGUGAGGAAGGUGGGGAUGACGUCAAAUCAGCACGGCCCUUACGUACGGGGCUACACACG